rnacentral:rRNA from 1 species
GAGAACUCGGGUGAAGGAACUAGGCAAAAUGGUACCGUAACUUCGGGAGAAGGUACGCUCUUGAUGGUGAAGUCCCUCGCGGAUGGAGCUGACGAGAGUCGCAGAUACCAGGUGGCUGCAACUGUUUAUUAAAAACACAGCACUGUGCAAAAUCGUAAGAUGACGUAUACGGUGUGACGCCUGCCCGGUGCCGGAAGGUUAAUUGAUGGGGUUAGACUUCGGUCGAAGCUCUUGAUCGAAGCCCCGGUAAACGGCGGCCGUAACUAUAACGGUCCUAAGGUAGCGAAAUUCCUUGUCGGGUAAGUUCCGACCUGCACGAAUGGCGUAAUGAUGGCCACGCUGUCUCCACCCGAGACUCAGUGAAAUUGAAAUCGCUGUGAAGAUGCAGUGUACCCGCGGCUAGACGGAAAGACCCCGUGAACCUUUACUACAGCUUGGCACUGAACAUUGACCCUACAUGUGUAGGAUAGGUGGGAGGCUUUGAAGCACGUACGCCAGUAUGUGUGGAGCCGUCCUUGAAAUACCACCCUUGUAGUGUUGAUGUUCUAACGUCGACCCCUUAUCGGGGUUACGGACAGUGCCUGGUGGGUAGUUUGACUGGGGCGGUCUCCUCCCAAAGAGUAACGGAGGAGCACGAAGGUGGGCUAAUCACGGUUGGACAUCGUGAGGUUAGUGCAAUGGCAUAAGCCCGCUUGACUGCGAGAAUGACAAUUCGAGCAGGUGCGAAAGCAGGUCAUAGUGAUCCGGUGGUUCUGAAUGGAAGGGCCAUCGCUCAACGGAUAAAAGGUACUCCGGGGAUAACAGGCUGAUACCGCCCAAGAGUUCAUAUCGACGGCGGUGUUUGGCACCUCGAUGUCGGCUCAUCACAUCCUGGGGCUGAAGUCGGUCCCAAGGGUAUGGCUGUUCGCCAUUUAAAGUGGUACGCGAGCUGGGUUUAGAACGUCGUGAGACAGUUCGGUCCCUAUCUGCCGUGGGCGUUGGAAGAUUGAAGGGGGCUGCUCCUAGUACGAGAGGACCGGAGUGGACGAACCUCUGGUGUUCGGGUUGUGUCGCCAGACGCAUUGCCCGGUAGCUAAGUUCGGAAUCGAUAACCGCUGAAAGCAUCUAAGCGGGAAGCGAGCCCUGAGAUGAGUCUUCCCUGAUACUUUAAGUAUCCUAAAGGGUUGUCGGAGACUACGACGUUGAUAGGUCAGGUGUGUAAGUGCUGUGAGGCAUUGAGCUAACUGAUACUAAUUGCCCGUGAGGCUUAACCAUACAACACCCAAGGGGUUU